rnacentral:rRNA from 1 species
GACGAACGCUGGCGGCGCGCUUAACACAUGCAAGUCGAACGGAAAGGCCUGCUUUCCCUUGUGGAUUGCGGGUACUCGAGUGGCGAACGGGUGAGUAACACGUGAGUGAUCUGCCCCCAACUUGGGUAUAGGCCUGGGAAACUGGGUCUAAUUCCCGAUAGGACUGCAGGGUGGUGCCUGUGGUGGAAAACGAUUUUCUAGUGGUUGGGGAUGAGCUCGCGGCCUAUCAGCUUGUUGGUGGGGUAAUGGCCUACCAAGGCGGCGACGGGUAGCCGGCCUGAGAGGGUGGACGGCCACAUUGGGACUGAGAUACGGCCCAGACUCCUACGGGAGGCAGCAGUGGGGAAUAUUGCACAAUGGGCGGAAGCCUGAUGCAGCGACGCCGCGUGGGGGAUGACGGCCUUCGGGUUGUAAACUCCUUUCGACCGCGAGGAAGCCACCUGGUUGGAAGGGUGGUGACGGUAGUGGUAGAAGAAGCACCGGCUAACUACGUG